AUAUGUAUACGUGGCGCAGUAUCCUAGUCAGAAGUCCCGGUUCUGAGGAAGGGCCUAAAAAUCCUUUAAAGGGCAUAUCGAUGAAGUCCCUGGUGUUUGCUUGUUACGCCCAGUUUCGGGUGGAUGCUGGGGGUUAAGAAUUUUGGGCAACCACAAUGGCAUGUGGCGACUGACCCAAUUUUCGUGGAGACCUGUUACUUUGCGACGGCCGCUGCGUAGUUGGCUCUGCCACCUUCCGGUCGCGUACGGAAUAGGAUCAACCUGCAAGGCGGUGCAUAGAAUCGUGUGCUGUGUGCAGUGUAGCCUGCCUUGCGUGGGGGCGAUGGGAUAGGGGAGCGAUGCAUACUUGCCCAUGGCCAUGGGAAAAGGUGAUAUCCCCUUGAAACCGCACCUGCAAAAGAGGCUAGGAAUCGGGAACGAUGUUGUGGAAAGCACCUAGGCUGUCUUUCGGGGGCAGAUAAGGGAUUGCAGUGCGUACUAAGUGGCAAUCGGGUCUCUGCUGCGGCGACGCGCAGACGGCGGGAUGAAACGGAAACGGCCGUUCCGGUGACGGGCGGGUUCCGCCGGGGAAAUCCUACCCGACCUAAGACGCAGGAUUAAUCUUAUCUGCCGCCACAUUUUUUGAAAU
rnacentral:sRNA from 1 species